rnacentral:rRNA from 1 species
CCUACGGGAGGCAGCAGUGAGGAAUAUUGGUCAAUGGCCGAAAGGCUGAACCAGCCAAGCCGCGUGAGGGAAGAAGGUCCUCUGGUUUGUAAACCUCUUUUAUAAGGGAAUAAAGGUAUGCACGUGUGGAUGUUUGCAUGUACCAUAUGCAUAAGCAUCGUCUCACUACGUGCCAGCAGCCGCGGUUAUACGGAGGUUGCGAGCGUUAUCCGGAUUUGUUGGGUUUAAAGGGUGCGUAGGUUGUUUUUUCAGUCAGCGGUGAAAGUUUGUGGCUCAACCAGAAAAUUGCCGUUGAAACUGGAGUACUUGAGUGUGUUAGAGGUAGGCGGAAUGCGUGGUGUAGCGGUGAAAUGCAUAGAUAUCACGCAGAACACCGGUUGCGAAGGCAGCUUACUAGGCCAUAACUGACGCUGAGGCACGAAAGCGUGGGGAUCAAACAGGAUUAGAUACCCGUGUAGUC